GCCUGGGUGGCUCAGUUGUUGAGCGUCUGCCUUUGGCUCAGGUCAUGAUCGCAGGGUCCUGGGAUCGAGCCCCACCUUGGGCU
rnacentral:tRNA from 1 species